CGAGCCCGCAGUGCCUCCGGGUCUCGACCUCCCUCGCCUUGGCCCGGAAUCUGCAAAGGACCAGCGCCUCCUUCUGUUCCUCCUGGGCGGUUACUGCCUGAAAACCUGGGCAAGGGGAGGCGCCAUCUCCCUCACUUGGUACUCCUCUGCUUGAAAUACCCCUAAAAGCCGAUAAGGACGGGAAGUUCCUUCGGCUGGUUCGCCAUUCGUGAACAGGUGUCCUCCGGUGUCCAGGUCCAAGUUUCCAUCUGAUUUCAUCCACCUCAAGGACUACCAUCAACAUUUCUUGGAGUUCCUUCUGCUGGGAACUGAUUUUUUUUCAGCUUUGGUGUCUCUGAAGUUUUUCGCUGAGCCUUCAUUUUUUAAAGCUGGGUCUUCCAGGUAUGGCAAGCUAGACUGAAGCGCUCCUGCAGGUGUGCUCAGGCGUGGCCCGCUCUGACUCUCCAGUGAGAAUCUGCCCCCAGCACUCCUCUGUCCAUCACGUGGUGUCUCCUCUGGCAGUUUUCAGACUCUGUUCCUCGUCACUGACGUGGGACAAUCUGCUCAAGAUGUGCCUUGGUUUGGUCUUGUUCACCCUGAAUUGCUGGGAAUUUGUUGAGAUUUUCUGUACCAAUGAGCUGACUGUCAACUUUGGAGAUUUGGGGCCAUUAUUUCUCCCAGUAUUUUCUUUUCUUGCCUUUCCCUGUUGGCGUCUCAGCACAAGUGCUCGAGCUGGUCUGCGGCUCAGGACGCCACCUCUCUUUCCGACUCCCUUUUCUCUUCGUUUUGGAGAGUAUCUGUGGCCAUUUCUUUGAGGUAACUAGUAUUUUUCCUCUGCAGUGUCUGAUCUCUUGCUAAGAUGUAGUUCUGUUUAUUCUCUCAAAGUUCAUUUAGUGCCUUUUUAUAGCCCCCGUCUCUCCUGGCCUCUCUGAAUACAUGACAUAUAGUUAGAGUAA